GAUGAACGUUGGCGGUGUGCCUAAUACAUGCAAGUCGAACGAAGUUGAUAGCAAUAUUAGCUUAGUGGCGAACGGGUGAGUAACGCGUUGGUGAUCUGCCUUGAAGUGUGGAAUAACGUUUCGAAAGGAACGCUAAUACCGCAUGUGCUCUCGAUUUUCAGAAAAGUUGAGAGUAAAGGAUUUAUUCGCUUCAAGAGGAGCCUGCGUCCCAUCAGCUGGUUGGUAGGGUAACGGCCUACCAAGGCUAUGACGGGUAGGGGACCUGAGAGGGUGGCCCCCCACAAUGGAACUGAAACACGGUCCAUACACCUACGGGUGGCAGCAGUAGGGAAUAUUAGAAAUGGACGGAAGUCUGAGUCUAGCAACACCGCGUGUGCGAAGAAGGCCUCGGUC
rnacentral:rRNA from 1 species